GACGAACGCUGGCGGCGUGCUUAACACAUGCAAGUCGAACGGAAAGGCCUGCUUUCCCUUGUGGAUUGCGGGUACUCGAGUGGCGAACGGGUGAGUAACACGUGAGUGAUCUGCCCCCAACUUGGGUAUAAGCCUGGGAAACUGGGUCUAAUUCCCGAUAGGACUGCAGGGUGGUGCCUGUGGUGGAAAACGAUUUUCUAGUGGUUGGGGAUGAGCUCGCGGCCUAUCAGCUUGUUGGUGGGGUAAUGGCCUACCAAGGCGGCGACGGGUAGCCGGCCUGAGAGGGUGGACGGCCACAUUGGGACUGAGCUACGGCCCAGACUCCUACGGGAGGCAGCAGUGGGGAAUAUUGCACAAUGGGCGGAAGCCUGAUGCAGCGACGCCGCGUGGGGGAUGACGGCCUUCGGGUUGUAAACUCCUUUCGACCGCGAGGAAGCCACCUGGUUGGAAGGGUGGUGACGGUAGUGGUAGAAGAAGCACCGGCGAACUACGU
rnacentral:rRNA from 1 species